UGCUCGAGCAGCGACGGCUCCCCAACCGGCCUCUUCAAUCGUCGGCACGAGUGCUCUCCUGCCUCGGCCGAUGUCGGUUUCCCGUGCUGGAUACCUGAUGGGAAGGCAUUCCAUUCGGCUGAGUUGUCCCGAAUCCGUCCUGCGCCCGUGAGCCUCUCGGCGCACGCGGCGCGGAUGGACCUCACGGCACCCGCCGUGGAAUCCCGAUCCGUGCGCUCCCGAACGGGUUCUCGGAUCGACGAUCCAUGACGGCGUGCCCGAUCUCUCGGAUGCGGAACACCCGUGGGUAUGAGGCGAGGUCCUCCUAUUGUCCCGAAAAAAAAGGCUUCUUGCGAACGACGGUCGUUCCGGUUUUGAACCCUCGCCCCCGCGGCGCCGAUCAUACCGGGACGACGUCGGUGAGGAAUGCUACCUGGUUGAUCCU
rnacentral:misc_RNA from 1 species